CUUUUCCUUGCAUUCCUGUCUGAACCAGGAAAUGCCCACAGCCAGUGUGAGAAGCUGAAAGGAAUCUGCUCUCUCACUGAGUGUAUUAAGGGCACUGACCUUGGGAAGCAGGGCUGUGCUUCGGGAUCGAGAUGCUGUAAACGCUUGUAAUGCCAUCUCCAUCUAUGACCAUGGAUACCUUCAGGAUACCUGCAAGAUAUGGCCAAUGACCUGAGAUUACCGCCUGCUGUCGAUUUAUCUUUCUUUAUGUAAAUCAAAUUGCUACCCAUCAAAUUCUAAAACAUUUAUGCA